GAUACACGAAGGAAGGGGGCUGCGCUGGUCUUCUGAACAAAAACAUACGCAUAUACAAUAGAUAGAGACGCUGGGAGCAGGCUGCGCAACUGGGGCUGCUUCUUCACAAAAACACACACACACAACACACACACACAACACACAAUAGAUAGAGAACUCCUGGAAAAGCUGAGGAGGAGAAGCUGCACAACAACUGCACAAUACAAACGACCCCUCCUUCCCUUUGAACUUGAUCUUCUCCAAACAACCCCCCUGUUUAUAUUCUUGAAGCAGCCAUCCAUGCCUUUUGGCUGAACAGAAAAUAAGACCCCCCCCCCCCCCCCN
rnacentral:lncRNA from 1 species